GUCUUUUGCCAUACCACCCUGAACGCGCCCGAUCUCGUCUGAUCUCGGAAGCUAAGCAGGGUUGGGCCGGGUUAGUACGUGGAUGGGAGACCACCUGGGAAUACCGGGUGCUGUAAGCU
ensembl:rRNA 5S_rRNA 5S ribosomal RNA